AACUAGAAAAAUUGCAUUUCCUUGCAGAAAAUGCGUGGAAAUGCUGAGUGCUGAAAGCUGAAAAAGCAAUGCUAAACUGCUAAUAAAACAUGGAGAAAGGUAUAAAUGUUAAAGCUGUUGAAGGGGUGAAAAAGAAAUAUAAGUUGGAUAAUUGAUUAAUUGGUUGAAGGACAAAUAGUAUGAAUAUGCUCUAUAAAAGGAAAUUUUAUUCAUGCUGAAAGAGGCUAGAAAAAUGUCGAAAAUUGCAUAAAGUUUGAAUGAAGAAGGAAAUUGCCUUAAAAGGCAGGAAGGUGAGAAGUGGCAUAAGUUUAAAUUGUAGUACUAGAAGUAGUAUGAUAAGAAUUCAAGUCGUGAUACUAGUAGUCAUGUCAGCAGUAGAAGUAGAUUGAGAAUAAAAGAAGUAUAAGUCAAAGUAGUAAAGAAAGUAGAAAUAGGAGCAAUAGCAGUUGAAG